UGACGGUACCUUGCGAAUAAGAGGUUGCUAACUCUGUGCCAGCAGCAGCGGUAAUACAGAGACCUCAAGCGUUAUCCGGAUUUAUUGGGCGUAAAGCGUGUGUAGGUGGCGAUGAUAGUCAGAUGUCAAAUUCCAGCGCUCAACGUUGGAGCUGCAUCUGAAACGUCAUCACUAGAGGCAAGUAGAGGCUCAUGGAACAUAUGGUGUAGCAGUGAAAUGCGUUGAUAUCAUAUGGAACGCCAAAGGAGAAGUCAGUGAGCUGGGCUUUGCCUGACACUGAGACACGAAAGCGUGGGUAGCGAACGGGAUUAGAUACCCCGGUAGUCCACGCCCUAAACGUUGCCAACUAGGUCUUGGAAGUAUCGACCCUUUCAGGACCGUAGCUAACGCGUUAAGUUGGCCGCCUGGGAAGUACGGCCGCAAGGCUAAAACUCAAAGGAAUAGACGGGGACCCGCACAAGCGGUGGAGCACGCGGUUCAAUUCGUCAACAAGCGAGGAACCUCACCAGGGCUUGAAAUCCUACUGCAAAUCCCGAGAAAUCGGGACUUCUUCGAGAGUGUAGGACAGGUGCUGCAUGGUUGUCGUCAGCUCGUGCCGUGAGGUGUUCCGUUAAGUCGGGAAACGAGCGCAACCCCUGUCGAGUGUUACUUAUGUCACUCGAGACUGCCCAGCCCAGAGUUUUCGAAUCAUCGAAAAUUUCGGGCUGGGAGGAAGGUGGGGAUGACGUCAAAUCAGCAUGGCCCUCUGACGCCCUGGGCGACACGCAUGCUACAAUGGCCGGUACAAUGGGUUGCCAAACCGCGAGGUGGAGCCAAUCCCAUAAAGCCGGUCCCAGUUCGGAUUGGAGUCUGCAACUCGACUCCAUGAAGCCGGAAUCGCUAGUAAUCGUGAAUCAGCCAUGUCACGGUGAAUACGUUCUCGGGUCUUGUACUCACCGCCCGUCACACCAAGAGAGUCGGUAAUACCCAAAGUGCCACGCAAGUGGUCCUACGGUAGGAUCGAUAAUAAGGGUGAAGUCGUAAAUUUGUUGCGACCUCAAAGAGCAAUCUUUGAGAAAAACCUGACUAUAUGCUGGAAACCCUGUGUAUCUUGUGCUACUCAUGAUAAUAUAUUUAUAUGAGUGAAAAAGCUUCAAGUGCAGGCAAUCAGCAGGGAAGAGCAUCUUUCGCAAGAAAGGGAAAACUCCCCUCAGAGACUACACGUCAGGCGCCUUUCUCUGAAAAAGAAAUAAAGGCUUAUCUUUUAGGUGCAUUGCACGAUGCAACUUUCAGCAGCAAUCGAAGAUUUCGGUUUUCUCAAAAGGGAACCGGAUGGUUGAAAUUUCUUCAAAUGCUGUUUAGAAGAAUUGGUUAUAAAUCUUGGGUUUAUAAGGAAGGUAAAACCAGAUCCGUAUAUGUUCUUGAAACUUUAGCGAAAUUCUUGGAUUUUGAGUUUAAUCCUUUGAAUCUGAAGUCAAGACAAGAAAAGAUCGGAUACAUUCGAGGUUUUUUCGAUGCCGAAGGUGGCAUUCCAAAAAACGGAAAAAGGUUUUACAUUCAACUAGUGCAAUCAAACAAGAAAAAACUUCAGCAAAUCAAGAAAGUCUUGAAAAAUCUGGAAAUCGAAACAGGAAAAAUACACAAUCCAAGCUACAGGGUGGAUCCUAAAUAUUGGAGAAUGUAUGUCCCUGCAAAUUACCAGAAAAAAUUUGCUAAAGUGAUAAAUUCUUGGCAUCCGAAAAAGACAAAAGUAUUCAGAGAGAGGAUGAUGAUAUAGUCCAUGCCUUAUAGCGAUAUAGGGAGAAACAUGAACAAGGCAUCCGUAGCGGAAGCUGUGGAUGGAUCACCUCCUU
rnacentral:rRNA from 1 species